rnacentral:rRNA from 1 species
GACGAACGCUGGCGGCGUGCUUAACACAUGCAAGUCGAACGGAAAGGCCCUGCUUUGGUGUUUUGCUUGAGUGGCGAAUGAGUGAGUCACACGAGAGUGACCUUCCCUUGACUUUAGGAUAACUUCAGGACACUUAGGAUACUACCGGCUAGGAGCCCCUACUACAUAUUGGGGGUUGGAGAGUUUCGGAGGUUGGGGAUGGACUCGCGGCUCAUGAGCUUGUUGGUGGGGUGGUGGCUUACCAGGGAUGUGACGGGUAGUAGGCCUGAGAGGGUGACCGGCCGCAGUGGGAGUGAGAAACGGCCCAGACGCCUACGGGAGGAAGCAGUGGGGAAUAUUGUACAAUAGGCGGAGGACGGAUGCAGGAGCAACGCGGGGGGGAGGAAGGAGUUCGGGGGGUAAACAGCUUUCGCCUGUGACGAAGAGGGAGUGACGGUAACGGGUAAAGAAGCACCGGCUAACUACGUG